CCUACGGGCGGCAGCAGUGGGGGAUAUUGCACAAUGGGGGGAACCCUGAUGCAGCGACGCCGCGUGGGUGAAGGAGCGUUUCGGCGCGUAAAGCCCUAUCGGCAGGGAAGAAGGAGGACGGUACCUGACUAAGAAGCCCGGCUAACUACGUGCCAGCAGCCGCGGUAAUACGUAGGGGGAAAGCGUUAACCGGAUUUACUGGGGGUAAAGGGGGCGCAGACGGCAGGGCAAGCCAGGAGGGAAAGCCCGGGGCCCAACCCCGGGACUGCCCUUGGAACUGCCCGGCUGGAGUGCAGGAGGGGCAGGCGGAAUUCCUGGUGUAGCGGUGAAAUGCGUAGAUAUUAGGAGGAACACCAGUGGCGAAGGCGACUUUCUGGACUGUACCUGACGCUGAGGCGCGAAAGCGUGGGUAGCGAACGGGAUUAGAUACCCCAGUAGUC
rnacentral:rRNA from 1 species